rnacentral:misc_RNA from 1 species
AAAAAUUGAGGUAUUCAUUACCUCUUGUAUUUAAAACCUCACUCUAUAAAACCUAAAAUUUUUUUAAAAAUGAA